CAUUCCAGCUGAAGACUCCAGACCCUGCAGGUGUCACUCUGCUAUAGGUUUGUCUUGUCCCCUUGCUCAAGGGUCCUGAAGCAACUCCUAAUAUUUACCCCACAGGGGGAAUGAGAAAGAAGCAGUCUUAUCCUAGACUGCUGGAAGAAAUACUCAACAAUGGGCUACCAUUCCCAGGAGGGCUACAACUCUGUGCUAUGACCCUGGCUCCAGCCUGUAUGCUCUGAUCCCUUUG
rnacentral:lncRNA from 1 species